AGCACUGGAGUAAGAACAACAAGAAGUCUGGGUCUUCUACUAGCCCUGGAGACGAUGCAGUAGAUCUCCCCAGGUGUUUAGGUUAUUCAGUUUCUUUCAAACAGCAAAGGAGGAAGACUGAUGAUCCACAUGUGCAAGCAGCCUGACGGUCAGUCUGUGGGCUCUGACAUUGAGCUGCUGGGAUUCAGUUCCACCUGUGCUUCUUCCAGGCUAGUGAACUUGACAUUUUUAAAAUUUAAGGCCAAGGAAGCAAAAGCGUCAACACUCACGGUGGGCUGGAUCCCAUUUUGGCUGCCAGCUCUCAGGACAGCAGAGCGCCUACAAGGUCCCAUGUAAGCCAGACACACACCAUGAUGCAAGCACAGAAGAUUGCACACGCACACAAGAUGCUGCACAGGCCUGGAGUGCAGUUGUGGUGGCUGGAGUCCCUGGCACACCAAUUCCCUCACUUUCUCUC